GACGAACGCUGGCGGCGUGCUUAACACAUGCGAGUCGAACGGAAAGGCCCUGCUUUUGUGGGGUGCUCGAGUGGCGAACGGGUGAGUAACACGUGAGUAACCUGCCCUUGACUUUGGGAUAACUUCAGGAAACUGGGGCUAAUACCAGAUAGGAGCUCCUGCUGCAUGGUGGGGGUUGGAAAGUUUCGGCGGUUGGGGAUGGACUCGCGGCUUAUCAGCUUGUUGGUGGGGUAGUGGCUUACCAAGGCUUUGACGGGUAGCCGGCCUGAGAGGGUGACCGGCCACAUUGGGACUGAGAUACGGCCCAGACUCCUACGGGAGGCAGCAGUGGGGAAUAUUGCACAAUGGGCGGAAGCCUGAUGCAGCAACGCCGCGUGCGGGAUGACGGCCUUCGGGUUGUAAACCGCUUUCGCCUGUGACGAAGCGUGAGUGACGGUAAUGGGUAAAGAAGCACCGGCUAACUACGUG
rnacentral:rRNA from 1 species